rnacentral:rRNA from 1 species
AAUAGUCUUUUAAUUGGAGGCUUGAAUGAAUGGCUGGACAAAAGAAAGGCUGUUUCGUUGAUAAAAAUUGAAUUUAAUAUUUAUGUGAAAAAGCAUGAAUGAUUUAGAGGGACGAUAAGACCCUAUAAAACUUUACGUGAUUAUGUGCUUUCUCGAAAUAUUGGUAAAGGGCAAGUGGAAUAUAAGCGUUGGGUUGGGGUGACAAAGAUAAAAUUAGUAACUGUUUUUAUAUUAAAAUAAUUAUAAUUAGAUAAUGAUCCUUUAAUAGAGAUUAAGAGAUAAAGUUACUUUAGGGAUAACAGCAUAAUUUUUUCUAAGAGUUCUUAUCGAUGAAGAUAGUUGUGACCUCGAUGUUGAAUUAAGAUUUCCUUUAGGAGUAGAAAUUUAAAAGGAAGGUCUGUUCGACCUUUAAAUUCUUA